AUUGAACGCUGGCGGCAGGCCUAACACAUGCAAGUCGAGCGGAUGAAGGGAGCUUGCUCCUGGAUUCAGCGGCGGACGGGUGAGUAAUGCCUAGGAAUCUGCCUGGUAGUGGGGGAUAACGUCCGGUAACGGGCGCUAAUACCGCAUACGUCCUGAGGGAGAAAGUGGGGGAUCUUCGGACCUCACGCUAUCAGAUGAGCCUAGGUCGGAUUAGCUAGUUGGUGGGGUAAAGGCCUACCAAGGCGACGAUCCGUAACUGGUCUGAGAGGAUGAUCAGUCACACUGGAACUGAGACACGGUCCAGACUCCUACGGGAGGCAGCAGUGGGGAAUAUUGGACAAUGGGCGAAAGCCUGAUCCAGCAAUGCCGCGUGUGUGAAGAAGGUCUUCGGAUUGUAAAGCACUUUAAGUUGGGAGGAAGGGCAGUAAGUUAAUACCUUGCUGUUUUGACGUUACCAACAGAAUAAGCACCGGCUAACUUCGUG
rnacentral:rRNA from 1 species